ensembl:lncRNA
GUGCUCACCUGACGUUGAGUGAACGAGUCACAAAUUGAAAGCAGCAAAACAUUUGUUGUUUUUAGAGAAAUUAGUUCCCUCUGUUUGGACUCAGUGGUGGGGAAAUGGAACUGAAGAACAUUCCACGUGGUUUGCUUUGUUUUCCCCCAUCAGACAGAUCGUGUCUAUCCUCUGUAUGUGCAGCCCGGAUCCUGAGUGACCAGCCAGCGUAAAGGGCCUUGCUGGGAAGCUCCUUCCCUUACAGAGUGCUGAGAUAAUUUUCCUUAAGCAAAGAUGACAUCACUGACCUGAAGGCGGAUCCAGGCAACUGCCCUAUCUGGGGAACAAUCAUUCCUGCAGUAUUUCCAAUUAAUCUUGGAAUGAGAGCCCCAGGCAAGAAGCCAGCGGUGCCUGAGGAAUGCUAAAGAGCAGACUGAGCCAGGGAAACAAAUGCCAGCGAGGGACCCCACAGCAAAGAGACAGACACCGUGAGCAACUCUCCCAUUACCAUGAGGCUCGCGAGGCGUGUGUGCGGGUCUCCGCGUUGGCACCAUCUGCCAAUUCCUCAGGAGGACAGAACAAACCAGCGAGGCAUGAAGAUUAGAUUAUGUAAUGCUAGAGGAUUGCUGUUUUCAAAGAGGAAACAAAUGGAACGAAUUGAUUUGCUUGUCAGAGUCAUGUCAGUAAAGGAGACCCAUUCCCUCCUCUUCUAAGAGGACUUCAUUAAAGAGGGGGAUGAUUUCACAGAAUCAGAAAAUGUGAGACCACGAUGCACUCCAUUCACAAGAGCAAGUCCAGUUUCCGGAACUGCACUGACAAACCCACUUCUGGUCCUCUGGCCUGAAAAAUGACUAUUCAGCCACUACCUAAGAGGUACCAACACACAAGGAACAUAAUUGCCAAUUGCCAGCCACGAGAUUCAGAUCCUGGGCGCUUUGCCUGAACUGAACUCGCUCGCUUCUGGGGAGGGAAGCAGCAUCUACUUUUGAGUCCAGUAGGGUCAUAGGUAUAUUCCAAGCUCUAAACAAGUGCUUCUUUGAUAGGGUGGGCAGGUGUUCUGAAAAAUACGUGC